rnacentral:lncRNA from 1 species
AACUAACAUGACCAAAAAGGAAACCAAUAAAUGUGGGAGGGGAUGUGGAAAAAAAGAUGCACUAAGGCACUGUUGGUAGAGUUGUGAACUUGUCUAGCCAUUCUGAAGAAUAAUUUGGAACUAUGCCUAGAGGGUUCUGAGUAUAGAAGAACAAGUAGGCCAGCGAGGCUGGAUUGUAGAGUGAUACUUUAGGUUGUACAAAGGUAUGGAGAGGAAGAUGAUGAAAUGUCAAGUGGGGUGCUGGUUGAUCUUGUUGGAGUGGAAGGCUGAAGUGAAUGGGUACAAGAUGUUCACCAAUCUCUGGAAUACCAACGGUGGCUACACUGCGGUCAGUGCUGGGAGGACAGAGAAGUCUGUUAGAGUUACAUUC